GGAUAGCUCAGUUGGUAGAGUAUAAAACUCUUAAUUUCAGGGUCGUGGGUUUGAGCCCCACAUUGGACA